UACAGAGGGUGCGAGCGUUGUUCGGAAUUAUUGGGCGUAAAGGGCGCGUAGGCGGUGCGGCAAGUCACCUGUGAAACCUCUGGGCUUAACCCAGAGCCUGCAGGCGAAACUGCCGUGCUGGAGUGUGGGAGAGGUGCGUGGAAUUCCGGGUGUAGUGGUGAAAUGCGUAGAUAUCCGGAGGAACACCAGUGGCGAAGGCGACUUUCUGGCCUGUUCUUGACGCUGAGGCGCGAAAGCUAGGGGAGCAAACGGG
rnacentral:rRNA from 1 species